GUGCCAGCCGCCGCGGUAAAACGUAGGACACGAGCGUUAUCCGGAGUUACUGGGCGUAAAGGGCGUUUAGGCGGGUGACUAAGUUUGCUAUGAAAGCGCCAGGCUAAACCUGGCGAGGCUGGCGGAUACUGGUCAUCUGGAGUAAGAGAGAGGGAGGUAGAAUUCCGCGUGUAGUGGUGAAAUGCGUAGAGAUGCGGAGGAAUACCAGUGGCGAAGGCGGCCUCCUGGCUCUUAACUGACGCUGAAGCGCGAAAGCAUGGGGAGCGAACGGGAUUAGAAACCCCAGUAGUCC
rnacentral:rRNA from 1 species